AGGAUGAACGCUGGCGGCGUGCCUAAUACAUGCAAGUCGAACGAGGUGCUUUUGUAGCAAUACGAAAGUAUCCUAGUGGCGAACGGGUGAGUAACGCGUUGGUGACCUACCCCAAAGUGUGGGAUAACAGUUCGAAAGAACUGCUAAUACCGCAUGUGGUUAUCGGAUUUAGAAACUGAUAACUAAAGGAGCAAUUCGCUUUGGGAGGGACCUGCGUCCCAUCAGCUAGUUGGUGAGGUAAUGGCUCACCAAGGCUACGACGGGUAGGGGACCUGAGAGGGUGACCCCCCACAAUGGAACUGAAACACGGUCCAUACACCUACGGGUGGCAGCAGUAGGGAAUAUUGCACAAUGGGCGAAAGCCUGAUGCAGCAACGCCGCGUGUGCGAUGAAGGCCCUCGGGUCGUAAAGCACUUUUCUGAGAGAUGAGCAAGGACAGUAUCUCAGGAUAAGUCUCGGCUAACUACGUG
rnacentral:rRNA from 1 species